AAGUUAUAUCAAUUUUCACUUUGUUACUUCCCAUACGCCUUAGCUUUUUAUACACCCCCAAAAAACUAAUGCUGUAAAUAUAAUUAGCCUAACGUAUUCCUUUAUAUCCAUAAUUAUAGCGUAGUGUCUUAUUUCCAUUUUCUAAUGGUCAGAGACAAAUAGUAAUAGAAAUAGAAAAACUUUUAAGACAGGAAAAGGUGAACGUCUGUUCCUUUAUGGUAGGUUACAGAAGAGCUGGAUAACGUGAAAACCAAACUUCAAGAGAUUGAAAGAAAGGUUUUGACUGCAGGAAGCACUAACUCUUCAGUUCAAAAUCAGGACUUAAAUACUGCAAAUGUCUUGCUCGCGAUACAGAAUUCUUCCAAAAGAAUUGACAACUUAUCGGCUCUUUGGCAGGCAUUGAAUGCAAGUGUUAGUGCACAAAUGAUUGACGUUGAACGAAACAUUCUACAGCUGGAUCAAAAGGUAAUUGGGGGAGAGCACAGGGCAUAGAACGCAACAGCAAUCAAAACUUACUGUAAUUAUAUCCAGUGUUUAAAAGCGAAGUAAUCCAGGACCAUUAAAAAUGUCAACAUGUUGCAUGUUCAAAGCCACAAGCGCGUGGAGCAUGAAUUAAAUCUUAACUUUUAUUAUUCAUUCCUGGCAAGCUGCGGCAUACAUAUCUCAACAGAUCUCAUCAAAACCCAGUUAUCUCUGCACAUAAUCUCUUGCUCUGCGUUUAACGUCCUUUAAGACACCUUCCUUGAUCUAGCGGAAUUGAGAAGUAAAGUGGAACCUCGUCUUACGGCCAACCUGUCAAUACGGCCACCUCGUUAUUAGGGCCACUUUAUUCUGGCCCGAACAAAGGCUCAGUCAGUCACUUUCUUAUUUAAAGAACCCCGUUAAUACGGCUAGACUUUUGUGGCCUCUUGGUGACUAGAUUAACGGGGUUCCAAUGCAGAAGUGACUUCGGCUUUGGUUUUUAUAUUGGCCGGCUUUAUCGAAGGACAUCUCGUGUUGCGCUGUCCUCAAGAAUAAUUUGUCGUGUUUGGUAAGAUUACAACAAGUUUAGAACGGUGAUGUGGUUUCCAGGCUAGCUGUAUCAUUUAAACCGUAUAAAACCUAAAUCUGCUGUGAUGGGUAAAGUUUCCUUCCGUAGACAACUGCACUGGAAUAUGUGAAUUGUCAAGGCUAAAAUGGUGAGCGUGUUAACCUCCGCAAGGACUACAUGUAUAGCAGGUUUUUUUGUUGAAAGCCAAGUCCAAAAAAACAGUUAUCCAUCGUUACCAACAUCAACAUGCGAGUCUUGUGCGCUAUGGCAGCAGCUAGCCAUGAACGGAGUAAAGCAACCCGACGCUAGAAAAAUAACGGCAUUAAAGAUCCCUAGUAAUUUGGAUUCUGUAUCGAUUUAUCCUCGGGAGUCGGGAAACCAAGUGUUAGACCGUUAUGAUUUAAAUUAUGUGGGGAAAGAGCUUAAGAACGUUAAUUUCGCGCGAAAAUUUUCCAGUCGAUAGAUUGUUUUAAAAUAUACCUGCGUCAAGAAAUGCAAAAAAAAU